AACGAACGCUGGCGGCAGGCCUAACACAUGCAAGUCGAGCGAAGACAUCGGUCCUAGCGGCGGACGGGGGAGCAACGCGGGGGAACGUGCCCAUGGCUCUGGAAUAGCCCUGGGAAAAUGGGAGUAAUACGGGAGGAGCUAUUUGGGGGAAAGAUUUAUCGGCGAAGGAUCGGCUCGCGUUGGAUUAGGUAGUUGGUGGGGUAAUGGCCUACCAAGCGGACGUUCCAUAGCGGGUUUGAGAGGAUGGUCAGCCACACUGGGGCUGGGACACGGUCCGGACUCCUACGGGAUGCAGCAGUGGGUAAUCUUAGACUAUGGGGUGAACCCUGAACUAGUCAUGCCGGGUAAGCACUGAAGGCCUUAAGGUUGUGAAGCUAUUUCAGCUCGUAAUAUAAUGACGGUACCAACAGAAGAAGCCCCGGCUAACUCCGUG
rnacentral:rRNA from 1 species